rnacentral:rRNA from 1 species
GACGAACGCUGGCGGCGUGCCUAAUACAUGCAAGUAGGACGCAGUUGCGAACGGGUUAGUAACGCGUAGGUAACUACCUAUUAGAGGGGGAUAACUAUUGGAAACGAUAGCUAAUACCGCAUACUAGUAGAUGGACCUGCGUUGUGUUAGCUAGUAGGUAGGGUAAUGGCCUACCUAGGCAACGAUACAUAGCCGACCUGGGAUGGUGAUCGGGCACACUGGGACUGAGACAAGGGCCAGAAUCCUAAGGGAGGGAGCAGUAGGGGAACAUCGGCAAAGGGGGGAAACCUGACCGAGCAACGCCGGGUGAGUGAAGGAGGUUUUCGGAUCGUAAAGCUAUGUUGUUAAGGGAGCGUUACUUAACCAGAAAGGGACGGCUAACUACGUGCCAGCAGCCGCGGUAAUUC